GAAUUGCAGAAUCCCGUGAACCAUCGAGUCUUUGAACGCAAGUUGCGCCCCAAGCCAUUAGGCCGAGGGCACGUCUGCCUGGGUGUCACGC
rnacentral:rRNA from 1 species